rnacentral:rRNA from 1 species
AUUGAACGCUGGCGGCAGGCCUAACACAUGCAAGUCGAGCGAGCGGCGGACGGGUGAGUAAUGUAGGGGAAGCUGCCCGAUGGAGGGGGAUAACUCCUGGAAACGGUAGCUAAUACCGCGUACUAUCAGAUGAACGCAGAUGGGAGUAGCUAGAAGGUGGGGUAAUGGCUCACCUAGGCGACGCUCCCUAGCUGGGUGGAGAGGAUGAUCAGCCACACUGGGACUGAGACACGGCCCAGACUCCUACGGGAGGCAGCAGUGGGGAAUAUUGCACAAUGGGCGAAAGCCUGAUGCAGCCAUGCCGCGUGUGUGAAGAAGGCCUUAGGGUUGUAAAGUACUUUCAGCGGGGAGGCGUUACCCGCAGAAGAAGCACCGGCUAACUCCGUGCCAGCAGCCGCGGUAAUAC